UCCGUUUUUAUUGGGUGGAUCUAGGGUGCAUUUCAGAAGUUACUUCUCCCUCUUCUUAUGGGUGAUGCAUAAUAUUGGAUAUGACAGUACAAUUUUGAUAGAUAUUAAAAAUGUCAUCAGGUUCUUCCCCUGGCCUUUCAUUCCCGCUGGCAUGUAAGAAAGAGUAAAGGGAGAAUUUUUGUUAAAGAAAUGGGGGAAAAAUCACACAGAGAGAAAGGCAGAGAUGAUCUUUGUAAGCAGACUAUGAACUAAAACUGUUUUUUCCUCUCCAAAUCCACAGAGGCAAGAUAAACAGCACCUGUAGAUAUUAAGAAGAGUAAAGCAAGUUAUGGGGACCCAGAGGCUAGAGAAGAAUUAUACGAGCUACUGACGAUGCCAAAGAAUUUUGGAAAAUUUUGGAAUUUUCAGGUCAGAAGAAGGAAUGAGUUUCCAUACGAUGUGCUGCUUGGACACUAGAAGUUAUCUUUGUACAGGAACUCCGAGGCGAUUUGAAGGACACAUGUCCCUGCUGAGCCCUUGCUGCUCAGAGAUAAAAUCCCCACAGGUUAUUUAUGCAUAACAUUGCUUCCUGUUUGCAUCAAACAGUCUUGCUUUGGACACUUCCUGAAACUUUAUUAAAAAUUGACUUUUCGAUGUGGCUCUGAGACUGAUCCUCUCAGGAAUGAGUGGUUAGAUGGUCAUUUAAUUUGAAAAGCCCUCAGAAAUUUACAAAGCUAUAAUUUGAUUCUCUUUGAAUGAAAACAAAAGUGUAACAUGAGCUUCGUUGGAUUCCAUGACUCAAAUUUGGGUUGAAUACAUCCAUGGGUACUUUCUGAACCCAUUCAACUCCCACUAUCCCUUGUAUUAGAACUUAGUGCACUAAACCAUUUCUUUGAAAACUAGGCGAAAAUGUACCCCAUGUGACUCAGUAUAUGUUCACUUCACGUCUACUUUCAUUCUUCUUUGUUCACUGGGAAGAAUCACAAAAGAGAUGAGUCAACAGUAAAUGCAGGAGUGUGAAUCUGUGCCCAUUAUCCUCAAGCAUCCAUAGAAACACUUGUAGCUUAGAACUCUUAUCAAAAGGCCUUUUGUUAUUUCAAGGGCAGCGCUAACAUGCACAGUGACUAUAUGUUUUUGAAUGCUUCAAAGAAUCUUUUCUAUUCUCCAGUAAGAAUACAGCUGCCUUAGCAAUUGUAACACCACUUCAUGUAUAAAAUGCUCUCCAAGUGAGUCCACACCAUUAUAUUUAUGUCAAAAUGGUCAACCUUUACAAUAGUACUUUGUAUCAGAGUGAUUACACGUGGCUCUAGAAAGUGAAUUCUUGUUACUUUGUCUUACUGCCAUAAAAAGAACACAGUUCAAUAAAUAGUCCAGUAGGCUUAAGGACAAGUUACAUUGUUAAACUCUUUUGAGGGUGUAGAGAUGAUGGAGGCUGGAAAAUGAAUUGUAAAGGCCUUACCCAUGUCUGAGCACAGGGGGGUGGGGUGCUCUUACGGAAAAUGCUGAAGGACAGAGUGGGAGAAAAUUGAAGAAAAAGACACAAUUGGGGAGAAUUUAAUAAGCAGGAGUGAGCUAUAAAUAAAAGUGGUGUUAAUCCUUGCUUUUUGCAGCUCUGCUCUGCCUUGAAGCCCUGGCCUCACCAACUGGUGUGGUCUGGAAAAGUCUUGUCCUUUGAAGUCACUUACUGAGUAGGCUGGGGUACAUUUCUUCAGAGUACAUAGUUAAUUCUGGCUCUGAGCUCCACUCUGAGCUCCUGAGCCCUUGCUAGGGUCUAGUCUCUUUUCUGAGGGUAUGAUCAUGUUCCCCAAAUUCUCAGUUAUAGUCUGGGCUCCAUAACCAAUGGGCAGCCUCCUGGAACUCCCAUGUUUCUUCCUGCUUGGUUUCUGAAUGUGCUUCUGGCAAGAGACUUUCUUCCUGUGGCCCAACUGCCAGGCCUAGGGCCCCUCAGGAAUUGGCACUGGCAUAUCAUCCAUAGGUUGUCAACUUUCUUGGGCACAGAUGUGGAUGGUAGGCUUACCAUGCUAGCAGUAGGGCCAGUCUAGCUACUUCAUUUGUCCCUUAGCUAUCAUCCCACUUUGAGUUCUCUUUUCAUUCCUUAACGAGCCGUGAAGAAGCGUCCUUCAAAUUAUCCACACUUCUAUAGGUAAUUAUGCUGGAGUUAGAGUUGCCUUUUUGCCUUUCAGAGUUCCACCAUACAUUUGACAAAUGGUUUCUAUAUAUCCCUAGUCUCCCAUUGCUUUUGAUCCAAGACCUCAUUAUAUGGAAAAAUAUGGAAGGCUGAUGUCCAUCAGGUUCAUAGUUCUUAUGUACCCAUCUUCCAAAGGAAUCUGGCCUCAGAGAACUAUCAAGCUUACUGACAUCUUAAAACACCAUAUGGAAGAUACUAUCUCUCAGAGUUAGUGUUUGUCCUGCCUGCUAUUGCAUAUACUAUGAAUCAGUGAAUAGGACAUAACACUAUUCGUCUAGUGACAGAAGACACAGGUUUGUGUACAAGGGAUGUAAGUUGAAGUGGUUCCUUACAUGAAGUUCCUAAUGAUAUACCACCUACACCUAGAUUUCAUCUAAUCUCUGUAACUCUGGGCUCACUUGACUUAGAGAUUUCAGAUCCUAGGAGACGUAUGUGUCUAUCAGAAACACAAGAGUAUUUCCACCAAAUUGAAAACUGAGACUAUCACCUGCCUAUCUGGGCUCUUUUUUUUUUUCCAUGGUUUUUUCUUCCAGUUUUACUGAGUUAUAAUUAACAUAUAAUAUUAUGUAAGUUUAAGGUGUACAGUAUAAUGAUUUGAUAUAUAUACAUAUAUAUAUGUUGUAAAAUGAUUACCACAAUAAAGUUAAUUAACACCUUUACCACCUCACAUAGCUACUAUUUGUGUGUGUGUGUGUGUGUGUGUGUGUGUGUGUGUGGUAAGAACUUUUAAGAUUUAACCUUUUAGCAACUCUGGUCACCAUACUUUACAUUGAAUCCCAAGAACUUACUUCUUUUAUAAUUGGAAGUCGGUACCCUUUGGCCGCUUUCACCCAUAUCCCCCUCACGUCCACCCCUGGCAAUGAUCAACAUACUCUCUGUUUCUGUGAGUUCAGUUUUUUAGAUUCCACAUGUAAGUGAGAGCCUACCCUAUUUGUUUUUCUUUGUCUGACAUAUUUCACUUAGCAUAAUGUUCUCAAAGUUCACCCAUGUUGUCCAUGGAUGAAUAAUAUUCCUAUGUGUGUGUGUGUGUGUGUGUGUGUGUGUGUGUAUCACAUUUUCUUUAUCCGUUCAUCUGUCAACAGAUACUUAGAUUGUUUCCAUGUCUCAGAUCUUGUAAACAAUGUUUUAAUAAACAUAAAUGCAGAUAUUUCCUCAAGUAGUGAUUUCAUUUCUUUUGGUUAUAUACCCAGAACUGGGAUUGCAAGAUAAUAUGGUAGUUCUGUUUUUAAUUUCUUAGGGACCGCCAUACUGUUUUCCACAGUGACCACCCAAUUUACAUUCACCAAGGUGCAAAAAGUUUCCCUUUUCUCUACAUUCACCCCAACACUUGUUUUCUCUUGUCUUUUUUUGAGAAGAGCUAAUCUAACAGGUGUGAGGUGAUAUCUCAUUGUGGUUUUGAUUUGCAUUUUCCUGAUGAUCAGUGCUAUUGAUCAUCUUUGCAUUUAGCUGUGGACCAUUUGUAUAUUUUCUUCGGAAAAAUAUCUAUUCAGGUCCUUUGCCCAUUUUGUAAUCAGAUUGUUUGUUUCUUGCUGAGUUGUACAGGUCUUCUAAUAUAUUUUGGAUAUAACCCCAUUAUCAUAUUUAUGAUUUGCAAAUAUUUUGUCUCAUUUUGUAGAUAACCUUUUCAUUUUGUCGAUUGUUUGCUGUGUAGAAGCUUUUUAGUUUGAGGUAGUCCCACUUACUUAUUUAGCUUUGCUUUUGUUCCUGCUUUUGGUGUCAUAGCCAAAUGAUCGUUGCCGAGACCAAUGCCAAGAAGCAUUUUCCUUAUGGUUUUCUUCCUAUGAAUUUUGUGAUUUUGAGUCUUAUAUUUAAGCCUAUAGUUCAUUUCAAGUUAAUUUUUGUGAGUGAUGUGAGAUGGGGGUCCAGUUUCAUUCUUUUGAAAGUGUAUGUCCAGUUUUCCCAGCACCAUUUAUUUAAGAGACCAUCUUUGUUCCAUUUUAAUAUUCUUGGC